GGCUGCUUGAAUCAGAUGCUAGAUAGUUGCAGUCUUCUACGGAAAACGGUUCCUACUGUAAAAUGAAAUUCUUGAGCGAUAGGUUGUAGUCGUGUUUGCUGUUAUUCCUUUACCAUCUGCGGGAGGUGCUGCAAUAUAUCAAGGUGCAGCUGUUCCAUGAUCCCCAGUUCGACGGCGAGCUUGAAUAGCCGGCCCAGCACUAUGCACUGUGUGUACAAGCAAGGUAUGGAUUGAAGCAAAAGUCCCUAAACAAGCAACAAGUGAUGACAUGAUCUCAAUUUGCACUACAGGCUGGUCACCUUCUCCAAAUUCUUCAAAUGUUGUGCGCUUAAGUGAAAAUGAGUUGUGUCCAGCUGUUGUAGGUGAUAUCUAAUAUCGCUCUUCGCCAUUCC